rnacentral:lncRNA from 1 species
GCAGAUUGAAGCCAGAGAUCUUAUCUCCCCGAGAUUACAGCGGAGCAGAUCGAAGACACUAUCCUAUCUCCCUGAAGUUACAGUGGAGUGGGUUAAAAUAAAGGAUCUUAUCUCUCUGAGGUUACAGUGGAGUAGACCGAAGAAUUGCAGAUCUUAUCCCCCUGAAGUUACAGUGGAGCAGAUUGAAGCCAGAGAUCUUAUCUCCCCGAGAUUACAGCGGAGCAGAUCGAAGACACUAUCCUAUCUCCCUGAAGUUACAGUGGAGUGGGUUAAAAUAAAGGAUCUUAUCUCUCUGAGGUUACAGCAGAGUAGGUCGCAUCAAGUCUUAUUUCCCUGAAGAUGCAGUGGAAUAGAUUGAAAACCACAAACCUCGUCCCCCUGAAGUUGCUACGAAGAAGAUAAAGGCUACAGGACGCAUCUCUCUAAAAUGCAGUGGAAUGGAUCGAAGCGACAAGACCUAGUGGACUGGAAUGAAACUACUUGAAAUGGAGAAGUACCAGAACAAGUCAAGACUCGGCAAGACCGGGCAAAAUGGGCCUUUCUUAGUCUUUGCUCUGUUAUCGUUACACGACAACGAGCAAAGAGGGGCAGCUGUUGCAGGCCCAUUUGCCCGGGCCCAAGAAAGAAACAAAAGAACCCAUACCAGCAGACCCACCAACUCCGCCGUUCACUUGCUGGCCGCCGCACGUCCCAUCGCUGCUCACCUGCUCCACCUGCUCUGCCGCUCCCAUGCCACUUGCACCUGCAAAGAGAAACAAACACGCAAGCAGAAACGAAGACAAAUUUUUUUCUUUCUUUCGGCUAUAAAAAGCCAGAUUUAAUAUGUAAACGGGGGCUUCGGGAUUUUGGGUAUCAAAGAAGGAAUUAACAACAAUCAGUGAAUAAUAAGAAGAUAAAAAAAAAAGCGAAAGAAAAGGUUGAUUUCAAAUCAUUUUCUCAGAUCUUGCGUUUUAUUUACUGUCUUCUGUUAUUUUUUAUUUUAUUUAUUUUCUACAACUCUUUUAACGAAACAAAAAUAGGAAUAGGGGUUACCUGUGCUACGUCGAAAGGGGAAGGACGAGCGGUCUCUCCUCGUUCUUCAAGUUUCGGACCUCCUUUUUCGGAUUUAGCCCUUCGAUUCGUGCUUGAGAUGCACUAAACUUCGAAAAGGAUAAAAAAAAUCUGAUUUUGGAUACUCCGGCCACCAUACGCGGCGGCGCUAGGGCGGAGAAUCGCCGGAGGCCUAGUUCGGCCGAUGACCAGCGCCGGGCCUGAAAGAAUGAGAGAGAGACUCUCCCUCUCAGUUUUUUUUUUUUCUGAAAAAUGAAUCUGAUUUGUUUUUUUUGUUUUUUCUAUUAUUUAUAUUCAAAAUGAAACGACGUCGUUUUAGCAAAGGGGGAUCCGCGCGUCGACCCGACCCGACCCGAAGGAUCCGCGUGUUUUAGUUUUUUGGGCAAUUUAUGCGCGCAGUCCCUCUGAUUCGCGGCGUGUUUCAAUUUGGUCCUAUUUUGUUGUUUUAUUUUAUUUUGAUUUAGCCCUAACAUUUUAUUUUUGUUUUACUUUAGUCCAUUGAGGUGCUGCGUUUUGGGAUUUUGGGUUUAUUUUCUGUUUCGGUCCUUCCCUUUUUUACGCGCGUCGCAAUUGGAUCCCUUUCGUUUUCCUUUAUUUCGAAUUGGCCCUAUAGGUUUUAUUUCAUUUCGAUUUAAGGCCCCUUUUUAUUAUUUAGUCAAUUUUUGUUAACUUUAU